rnacentral:rRNA from 1 species
UUUAUGGAGAGUUUGAUCCUGGCUCAGGAUGAACGCUGGCGGCGUGCCUAAUACAUGCAAGUCGAGCGAACGGACGAGAAGCUUGCUUCUCUGAUGUUAGCGGCGGACGGGUGAGUAACACGUGGAUAACCUACCUAUAAGACUGGGAUAACUUCGGGAAACCGGAGCUAAUACCGGAUAAUAUUUUGAACCGCAUGGUUCAAAAGUGAAAGACGGUCUUGCUGUCACUUAUAGAUGGAUCCGCGCUGCAUUAGCUAGUUGGUAAGGUAACGGCUUACCAAGGCAACGAUGCAUAGCCGACCUGAGAGGGUGAUCGGCCACACUGGAACUGAGACACGGUCCAGACUCCUACGGGAGGCAGCAGUAGGGAAUCUUCCGCAAUGGGCAAAAGCCUGACGGAGCAACGCCGCGUGAGUGAUGAAGGUCUUCGGAUCGUAAAACUCUGUUAUUAGGGAAGAACAUAUGUGUAAGUAACUGUGCACAUCUUGACGGUACCUAAUCAGAAAGCCACGGCUAACUACGUGCCAGCAGCCGCGGUAAUACGUAGGUGGCAAGCGUUAUCCGGAAUUAUUGGGCGUAAAGCGCGCGUAGGCGGUUUUUUAAGUCUGAUGUGAAAGCCCACGGCUCAACCGUGGAGGGUCAUUGGAAACUGGAAAACUUGAGUGCAGAAGAGGAAAGUGGAAUUCCAUGUGUAGCGGUGAAAUGCGCAGAGAUAUGGAGGAACACCAGUGGCGAAGGCGACUUUCUGGUCUGUAACUGACGCUGAUGUGCGAAAGCGUGGGGAUCAAACAGGAUUAGAUACCCUGGUAGUCUACGCCGUAAACGAUGAGUGCUAAGUGUUAGGGGGUUUCCGCCCCUUAGUGCUGCAGCUAACGCAUUAAGCACUCCGCCUGGGGAGUACGACCGCAAGGUUGAAACUCAAAGGAAUUGACGGGGACCCGCACAAGCGGUGGAGCAUGUGGUUUAAUUCGAAGCAACGCGAAGAACCUUACCAAAUCUUGACAUCCUUUGACAACUCUAGAGAUAGAGCUUUCCCCUUCGGGGGACAAAGUGACAGGUGGUGCAUGGUUGUCGUCAGCUCGUGUCGUGAGAUGUUGGGUUAAGUCCCGCAACGAGCGCAACCCUUAAGCUUAGUUGCCAUCAUUAAGUUGGGCACUCUAAGUUGACUGCCGGUGACAAACCGGAGGAAGGUGGGGAUGACGUCAAAUCAUCAUGCCCCUUAUGAUUUGGGCUACACACGUGCUACAAUGGACAAUACAAAGGGCAGCGAAACCGCGAGGUCAAGCAAAUCCCAUAAAGUUGUUCUCAGUUCGGAUUGUAGUCUGCAACUCGACUACAUGAAGCUGGAAUCGCUAGUAAUCGUAGAUCAGCAUGCUACGGUGAAUACGUUCCCGGGUCUUGUACACACCGCCCGUCACACCACGAGAGUUUGUAACACCCGAAGCCGGUGGAGUAACCUUUUAGGAGCUAGCCGUCGAAGGUGGGACAAAUGAUUGGGGUGAAGUCGUAACAAGGUAGCCGUAUCGGAAGGUGCGGCUGGAUCACCUCCUUUCU